UGGGGAAUUUUGGACAAUGGGCGCAAGCCUGAUCCAGCCAUUCCGCGUGCAGGAUGAAGGCCCUCGGGUUGUAAACUGCUUUUGUACGGAACGAAAAGCCUUCUUCUAAUACAGGAGGGUCAUGACGGUACCGUAAGAAUAAGCACCGGCUAACUACGUGCCAGCAGCCGCGGUAAUACGUAGGGUGCAAGCGUUAAUCGGAAUUACUGGGCGUAAAGCGUGCGCAGGCGGUGAUGUAAGACAGAUGUGAAAUCCCCGGGCUCAACCUGGGAACUGCAUUUGUGACUGCAUCGCUGGAGUGCGGCAGAGGGGGAUGGAAUUCCGCGUGUAGCAGUGAAAUGCGUAGAUAUGCGGAGGAACACCGAUGGCGAAGGCAAUCCCCUGGGCCUGCACUGACGCUCAGGCACGAAAGCGUGGGGAGCAAACAG
rnacentral:rRNA from 1 species